CAAAGGAAUUGACGGGACCCGCACAAGCAGCGGAGCGUGUGGUUUAAUUCGAUGCUACACGAAGAACCUUACCAGGGUUUGACAUGCAAGUGGUAGGAAUCUGAAAAGGGACCGACCCUUCGGGGAGCUUGCACAGGUGCUGCAUGGCUGUCGUCAGCUCGUGUCGUGAGAUGUUCGGUUAAGUCCGCUAACGAGCGCAACCCUCACUGCGUGUUAUAUGUGUCACACGGGACUGCCGGUUUUAAGCCGGAGGAAGGUGGGGAUGACGUCAAGUCAGCAUGGCCUUUAUAUCCUGGGCUACACACACGCUACAAUGGUCGGUACAAUAGGUUGCCAAGCCGCGAGGCGGAGCCAAUCCACAAAGCCGGCCUCAGUUCAGAUUGUAGGCUGCAACUCGCCUGCAUGAAGAUGGAGUUGCUAGUAACCGCAGGUCAGCAAUACUGCGGUGAAUACGCUCCCGGGUCUU
rnacentral:rRNA from 1 species